ensembl:snRNA U2 U2 spliceosomal RNA
AUAGCUAUCUUCUGAUUGUUUCUUAAAAUCAAGUGUAGUAUCUGUUCUUAUCAGUUUAAUAUCUGAUACGUCCUCUAUCCGAGGACAAUAUAUUAAAUGGAUUUUUGGAGCAGGGAGAUGGAAUAGGAGCUUGCUCCGUCCACUCCACGCAUCGACCUGGUAUUGCAGUACAUCCAGGAACGGUGCACCUUCC